AGAGUUUGAUCCUGGGUCAGAGUGAAAGCUGGUGGUAGGCCUAACACAUGCAAGUCGAACGGCAGCACAGUAAGAGCUUGCUCUUACGGGUGGCGAGUGGCGGACGGGUGAGGAAUACAUCGGAAACUACUUUUUCGUGGGGGAUAACGUAGGGAAACUUACGCUAAUACCGCAUACGACCUACGGGUGAAAGCAGGGGAUCUUCGGACCUUGCGCGAUUGAAUGAGCCGAUGUCGGAUUAGCUAGUUGGCGGGGUAAAGGCCCACCAAGGCGACGAUCCGUAGCUGGUCUGAGAGGAUGAUCAGCCACACUGGAACUGAGACACGGUCCAGACUCCUACGGGAGGCAGCAGUGGGGAAUAUUGGACAAUGGGCGCAAGCCUGAUCCAGCCAUACCGCGUGGGUGAAGAAGGCCUUCGGGUUGUAAAGCCCUUUUGUUGGGAAAGAAAUCCAGCUGGUUAAUACCCGGUUGGGAUGACGGUACCCAAAGAAUAAGCACCGGCUAACUUCGUGCCAGCAGCCGCGGUAAAUACGAAGGGUGCAAGCGUUACUCGGAAUUACUGGGCGUAAAGCGUGCGUAGGUGGUCGUUUAAGUCUGUUGUGAAAGCCCUGGGCUCAACCUGGGAACUGCAGUGGAACUGGACGACUAGAGUGUGGUAGAGGGUAGCGGAAUUUCCUGGUGUAGCAGUGAAAUGCGUAGAGAUCAGGAGGAACAUCCAUGGCGAAGCAGCUACCUGGACCACACUGACACUGAGGCACGAAAGCGUGGGGAGCCAAACAGGAUUAGAUAUCCCUGGUAAGUCCACGCCCUAAGCGAUGCNACCUGGAUGUUGGUGCAUUUGGCACGCANUAUCCGAAGCUAAC
rnacentral:rRNA from 1 species